rnacentral:rRNA from 1 species
UACGGAGGAUGCAAGUGUUAUCCGGAAUCACUGGGCGUAAAGCGUCUGUAGGUGGUUUAAUAAGUCAACUGUUAAAUCUUGAGGCUCAACCUCAAAAUCGCAGUCGAAACUAUUAGGCUAGAGUAUAGUAGGGGUAAAGGGAAUUUCCAGUGGAGCGGUUAAAUGCGUAGAGAUUGGAAAGAACACCGAUGGCGAAGGCACUUUACUGGGCUAUUACUAACACUCAGAGACGAAAGCUAGGGUAGCAAAUGGG